rnacentral:rRNA from 1 species
AAAAGUCAGAUGUGAAUGCCGGGGCUUAACCCCGGAGCUGCAUUUGAAACUUUCCUGCUUGAGUGAAGUAGAGGCAGCGGAAUUCCCUGUGUAGCGGUGAAAAUGCGUAGAGAUAGGGAGGAACACCAGUGGCGAAGCGGCUUGCUGGGCUUCAACUGACGCUGAGGCACGAAAGCGUGGGUAGCAAACAGGAUUAAUACCCUGGUAGUCCACGCUGUAAACGAUGAUUACUAGGUGUGGGCGCAAAAGCGUCCGUCCGGAGUCAACACAAUAAGUAAUCCACCUGGGGAGUACGACCGCAAGGUUGAAACUCAAAGAAUUGACGGGGGCCCGCACAAGCAGUGGAGUAUGUGGUUUAAUUCGAAGCAACGCGAAGACCUUACCAGGUCUUGACAUCCAACUAACGAGGUAGAGAUACGUCAGGUGCCCUUCGGGGAAGUUGAGACAGGUGGUGCAUGGUUGUCGUCAGCUCGUGUCGUGAGAUGUUGGGUUAAGUCCGCAACGAGCGCAACCCUUACCUUUAGUUGCUACGCAAGAGCACUCUAAAGGGACUGCCUUGACAAAACGGAGGAAGGUGGGGAUGACGUCAAAUCAUCAUGCCCCUUAUGACCUGGGCACACACGUACUACAAUGGCCGUAAACAGAGGGAAGCAAGACAGUGAUGUGGAGCAAACCCAAAAAACGGUCCCAGUUCAGAUUGUAGGCUGCAACUCGCCUACAUGAAGAUGGAAUUGCUGUAAUCGCGAAUCAGCAUGUCGCGGUGAAUACGUUCCCGGGCCUUGUACACACCGCCCGU